ACUCCUACGGGAGGCAGCAGUGGGGAAUAUUGGACAAUGGGCGCAAGCCUGAUCCAGCCAUGCCGCGUGAGUGAUGAAGGCCCUAGGGUUGUAAAGCUCUUUCACCGGUGAAGAUAAUGACGGUAACCGGAGAAGAAGCCCCGGCUAACUUCGUGCCAGCAGCCGCGGUAAUACGAAGGGGGCUAGCGUUGUUCGGAUUUACUGGGCGUAAAGCGCACGUAGGCGGACUAUUAAGUCAGGGGUGAAAUCCCGGGGCUCAACCCCGGAACUGCCUUUGAUACUGGUAGUCUUGAGUUCGAGAGAGGUGAGUGGAAUUCCGAGUGUAGAGGUGAAAUUCGUAGAUAUUCGGAGGAACACCAGUGGCAAAGGCGGCUCACUGGCUCGAUACUGACGCUGAGGUGCGAAAGCGUGGGGAGCAAACAGGAUUAGAAACCCUUGUAUCCCAUGAU
rnacentral:rRNA from 1 species